rnacentral:rRNA from 1 species
AGCAGCACCGCGGUAAUACGGAGGAUCCAAGCGUUAUCCGGAAUCAUUGGGUUUAAAGGGUCCGUAGGCGGUCUUGUAAGUCAGUGGUGAAAGCCCAUCGCUCAACGGUGGAACGGCCAUUGAUACUGCAGGACUUGAAUUAUUGGGAAGUAACUAGAAUAUGUAGUGUAGCGGUGAAAUGCUUAGAGAUUACAUGGAAUACCAAUUGCGAAGGCAGGUUACUACCAAUUGAUUGACGCUGAUGGACGAAAGCGUGGGUAGCGAACAGGAUUAGAUACCCCUGUAGUCCCUGUCUCUUAUACC